GACGAACGCUGGCGGCGUGCUUAACAUAUGCAAGUCGAACGAUGAUGCUGGAGCUUGCUCCAGUUGAUUAGUGGCGAACGGGUGAGUAACACGUGAGCAAUCUGCCCUUGACUCUAGGAUAACUGCGGGAAACUGUAGCUAAUACCGGAUACUUUCACCGGAAGGCAUCUUCUGGUGAUGAAAGAAUUUCGGUCAGGGAUGAGCUCGCGGCCUAUCAGCUUGUUGGUGAGGUAACGGCUCACCAAGGCGACGACGGGUAGCCGGCCUGAGAGGGUGACCGGCCACACUGGGACUGAGACACGGCCCAGACUCCUACGGGAGGCAGCAGUGGGGAAUAUUGCACAAUGGGCGCAAGCCUGAUGCAGCAACGCCGCGUGAGGGAUGAAGGCCUUCGGGUUGUAAACCUCUUUUAGCAGGGAAGAAGCGAAAGUGACGGUACCUGCAGAAAAAGCACCGGCUAACUACGUGCCAGCCGCCGCCGUAA
rnacentral:rRNA from 1 species